rnacentral:rRNA from 1 species
CCUACGGGUGGCAGCAGUGAGGAAUAUUGGUCAAUGGACGGAAGUCUGAACCAGCCAAGCCGCGUGCAGGAUGACGGCUCUAUGAGUUGUAAACUGCUUUUGUACAGGGAUAAACUUGAAUAUGUGUACUUCUCUGAAUGUACUUUACGAAUAAGGAUCGGCUAACUCCGUGCCAGCAGCCGCGGUAAUACGGAGGAUCCGAGCGUUAUCCGGAUUUGUUGGGUUUAAAGGGUGCGUAGGCGGUUUGUUAAGUUAGAUGUGAAAGGUCGGGGCUUAACCGGGAAAUUGCAGUUAAUACUGUUGUUCUUGAGAACAGGAGCGGUAGGCGGAAUGCGUGGUGUAGCGGUGAAAUGCUUAGAGAUCAUGAAGAACACCGAUUGCGAAGGCAGCUUACUGGACUAUAUCUGACGUUGAGGCACGAAAGCGUGGGGAGCAAACAGGAUUAGAUACCCGAGUAGUC